GACGAACGCUGGCGGCGUGCUUAACACAUGCAAGUCGAACGGAAAGGCCCUGCUUUUGUGGGGUGCUCGAGUGGCGAACGGGUGAGUAACACGUGAGUAACCUGCCCUUGACUUUGGGAUAACUUCAGGAAACUGGGGCUAAUACCGGAUAGGAGCUCCUGCUGCAUGGUGGGGGUUGGAAAGUUUCGGCGGUUGGGGAUGGACUCGCGGCUUAUCAGCUUGUUGGUGGGGUAGUGGCUUACCAAGGCUUUGACGGGUAGCCGGCCUGAGAGGGUGACCGGCGACAUGGGGACUGAGAGACGGCGCAGACUCCUACGGGAGACAGCAGUGGGGAAUAUUGCACAAUGGGCGGAAGCCUGAUGCAGCGACGCCGCGUGCGGGAUGACGGCCUUCGGGUUGUAAACCGCUUUCGCCUGUGACGAAGCGUGAGUGACGGUAAUGGAUAAAGAAGCACCGGCUAACUACGUG
rnacentral:rRNA from 1 species